rnacentral:misc_RNA from 1 species
CAGGCUUGCUCGGGUGGCAUUUCGAUCGUCCGGUGGCCCCUCCGUGGCGUCGUCGGUCGGUCGCGUGUUUCUCGUCUUGCUUUGGGACGACGCGUGAGCGGCUUUUAGGACGUGAUCCCGGGGCAGGCUCCGUGCUCGGGCAUCGAACUGCCCCGUUCCGUCCCUCUCAUUGGUUGUGGUCCGCCGCUGUCCUUUCAGGGACGGUUGCGGCCGCGGGUUGGGUUCCUGUUCUAGAUAUCCGAACGCGAUAGUUGGAAGGAUUCUCGUCCCCGUCGUGGUACCGUCCGUCCGCCCCCUCCCCCCCGGGGAGCCGGCGGAUUUCAUGUUGCGGGCGUCCGACGUUCUCCAUCGGGAAAGCGACCCCCGCUCGGGCUCUUCCUCUCGAUGGCGCGUCGGUGCUGCCGGGCAUGCUCUCGGGUACGGAGAUUUCGUCGGUUGGUCGCACCGGUCCUCGGUGGCCGUUGCGACCCGUACGUGUCGAGGCCUUACCGCCUCUGCUCGCGCGACCCUCGCGCUUUGCCUCUGUGGGAUCGCGGAGCCUAAAUCCCUCCGCGAUCGCCUCCGGGGCGGGCGUCGAGGUUUCCGGAGGAACGC